GCAGAUUUUUGUAACGAGAAAAAAAGACCAUAGGAGGAGCACGGGCUCGCCUCCUCUCCCUCUCGCCCAAGUCCUCGUCGCUGCCGCCGCCACCACCACCCACGCUGUGGCAAUCUCCGGCGAGCUCCGGCGCCGCACAACACGCCCCAGAGCUCCCCACGGUCCGCGUCUCCCUCCCCUCCGGCCAGAUUCUGCGCUCCCGACCUCUACCGCCCGGUCGCAACGCCACCCCUGUGGCUAGGGUUUGGGGCAGGGCUUCGCCGCCGCGUCUCCGGCGGCCCCGGGUUCGUCCCUCUUCCUACCUGGUCGGGAUCCACCACCCCUACACCUCACCUUCGACGCCAUGGGAGUUCCCCAUCCACCAUGGUCGUCGCCGUCAAGGGCUUCUUCACGAAGAUGUGAAGGACGCCAUGGACCUGCAGCUCCUUUUCUCCUCCACCACGGACGCCGCCUCACCCUUCCAAGCCGCCAGGCACCCUACAAACGGGUCGGCCCACAGCUCCUCCGCUCCUCUGCCAUCUUGAGAUGCACCUGGAUCUGGGCGAUUUCAGGGCCUUCAUGGCUUUAGAAUCGGCCUCUCGUUCGGGAUCAGUUUGGAUCUAGGACAAGCCAACCAUGCUGCUGCGCCAAGCUCCUCUUGAUAUAGUUUACAUGAAUGCUAUCCGGGAGAAGGCAAAUAUCAGGAGCAAAUAAAAUCAAUCCCUGUACAAAUAAAAACACUCCCUGCAAUCUACCAUUUUUUUGAGGAAUUAGCCACAUUAGAGUAGUUGAUACAUUGGAUGAGUAUUCAGAAGGUGCAGUCAAUUUUUCCUUUGGCAUCUAGCCCUCCUGUUGGUAUAAUAAUGCAAAUUGCCUUUUUUAAAAAAAAUUGGUCCUUCAUUUCUUUUCUUCGAGUUAUCUGUGUAUCUUUUAAGCUUUUGCUAGGCGAGGAAAGGUGGACCAAGUAGUCUAGCAGAACCAAUUGCAUUUUUGGGGUAUUGGCUUCAGAUUGGAGUGGGAAGAAAGAAUAAAUUGAUGUUCGAUUUGACUACAACCCUACAAUGUUUGCUCUGAAAGGCAUGUACUUUAAAAAAAGACAUGAUGUGCAUUUGCAUAGUUUGACAAAUUCCGAUCAAUGAACUGUAUUUUGUUUUCUGUUUUCAUUGUAACAUCAACCUUACGUGGUUAUUCUUAUCAAUGUUUGAACUGAAGUUAUACAAUAGAGGGCAUGUACUUGAUUGUUUUAGUGUCAAUAUAUUCAGAAGACAUGGAUCCAUCACGGAAGGAGUAGAGGAAGACCAUGGAAAGGAGGAGUUACUAGGAGCAGAAUACUGGUGAGUUAACUUCGGUUUUCAGAAUUGAAGCUUCAAUCAGGUGAAGUGGUUCCUUUGGACAUUGAUAUCUGCUGCAUAAUAUAUGUAGAUAAAGGAAAAUUGAAUUAAGAACUCAAUCGGAGCAGAGACCAUGAGUUGUGGACCAUAUAAUGUUGUCUGCUUCACUUUCAGUUUCUGCUGGGAAAAUUUGCAGAACCGGAUAAUGUCUCAACACUGACUAGAAGAAAGGAAGCCACAUAUAGCUGGUUCGGCCAGCCAACUAAUCCAUGAAAUUUACCUUCUUUGUCUUUCCUUUUUAAUGCUCAUCACAUUUUUAUAUAUGUGCACCAUAGUUAAAGUUUGCAAAUAUUAUUGCGCAAAAGCAGUCUGUUCCUUGCACCUGUUUUGCAAGCUGGAUUAUUCAAAGAAUAUAUACAAAGAUGGAAAAGGCAGUCGUGUCAGAUUAAUGUGGGGAGGGCAAUAUUGGGUAGAGAUUCUUGCAUCUGCACGUUAAGUUUGUGGCAAUCGUGAAUUGCUUUAUUUUCCUGCCAUUCGUAUUUCUUGUGUGAAUAACAUCAAGAUGAUUUUGAGCCUGGAAACUUCAAGCGUGUCAUAAGGCAGGAAACAAAUCUGUAGAGAAGUAUAGGUGAUGUGCUAGAAAACAUGGCCGUGCCACUGAUUUUUCAGCUGGUCGUGCUUCAUCUGUAUGAUGCUUUUGUUGAUUACCAGCUUAUGUAGGUUGCUUAGAAGCGAGGCCUUCCCAUAGUUGACGAAGAUAUGUGUAACCAGUGAAGAAUAUUAGGAUGGGAAUUUUACCUAUUCUAUGGACUAGCUACAGUUCUUGGUGCCUUAUAAAUGAUAAAGAGAGGUCUUUCUGACUAAAUAAUAAUUUCCAUUAGUUACUACUUUUCAGUUUUAGAUUCCAUUGUAAUGUUGCUGAUGAUGUCAACACUGGUUUGACUUCUCAUAUAUACGAUCUCUAAUUAUUUCAGAAGAUAAUCAAUCUGUUCAUAUCAUACUACUUCCCAUUAUAACUUUCCCUGUGUAUACUUUGGUAGUAGUGUGCUUUAUUAUUAGGCCCCGUAAAGAUAUGGAGUAAAUUCUGCACCGCUAUGACCUUUACCUUCUUUGUUAGUUUCUUGGUCGUCUUUUCAGAUAUACAAUUGUUUACCAAAUCGCGGCUUUGCAGGGAGGAGGUGUUGUCGCCAACCUCACGUUGAUGUGCGGUACUUGCGCCUCUCUGCUUCAUAUGGACAUAAGGCACCAAACUAGAACAUUUCCAUCAUGUUAUUUGGUGUUUAGAAAGUGUUUAUCUGUAAGCUACAUUAAUACACUAGUAGUCCCACAACGUUUUGCAUAUGAAUAGUUGUAGAAGAAACAUGAUAACAGGUUUCUUUUGUUGCUAACGUGUAGAGUUACUGUACAAAUGCAUUUUUUGCUACAGAUUUACGGGUCAUUAUUUAGCUAUUUCGGUUCCUCCUUAUGAAUAGAUUUUUCUAUGUAUAUGGCGGAAGAUAAUAUAGACCUCUAUUUGUAAACAUCCAUAUAGUUUGUGGAAAAUGGAAAACCUUACUUUUUUUUGUUAUCUUUAUGAAAAUACUAUUAUCUCUUUUUAGCCCUUUACUAUUACUUCCAAAAGAGUUCUUUUUAGUGACAUGCAACUUUCUCCUUGAUGAGUAAUGAUCUGGUUAUCUUGAUAAAGACUACUAAUUCAGGUUAUUUGUAUGAAUAUUUCUAUCAAUUAUAAUUAAUAUUGUUUUGUUGCUUGUGGUAAGCCUCCCCACUUUGUAAUGAUCAAUAUAUAUGCCCGUACUUCAAGAAUUUGUUGUUAUCAGUGCUACAUUUGGUCUGCUGAUAUGCAUGAAUUUUAUUUUAUUUCCAUUUUUCAUUUGAUGCAUGGAAGCAGUUUAUCUAUUUGGAUGAA